GAUGAACGCUGGCGGCGUGCCUAAAACAUGCAAGUCGAGCGGCAGCGAGUUCCUCGCUAAUGUUCGGAUUUGUUUACCAAUGAUGCAAGUAAUUUAGUCAGAGUAACAAAGUAACGACUAGUUGUUUAAGUUAAAAGGUAGAUUUAAUAUUCCGGAUAUGAGCGAGGAAUGUCGGCGAGCGGCGGACGGCUGAGUAGCGCGUAGGAACAUACCCCAAAGUGAGGCAUAACCGCCCGAAAGGGUGGCUAAUACCGCAUAUUGUCUUCGGAUGAAAGCUUUUAGCGCUUUGGGAAUGGCCUGCGUUUGAUUAGCUAGUUGGUGAGGUAAGGGCUUACCAAGGCGAUGAUCAAUAGCUGGUUUGAGAGAAUGAUCAGCCAGACUGGAACUGAGACACGGUCCAGACUCCUACGGAGGCAGCAGUUGGGAAUUUUCCACGUAAUGGGCGAAAGCCUGAUGGAGCAACGCCGCGUGCAGGAAGAAUGCCUUCGGGUUGUAAA
rnacentral:rRNA from 1 species